GGGUUCAAGGUUCAAGGUUAUUCUUUUGAAGUUUCUUCGUGAUGCAGGCGACAAUAAAUCCAGCAGACAGCUUUCUGCAGCAUACCUGUAAGAUAUGCAGCCCCUUCAGUGUGAGUACAGCCAGCUCCCUCACUCCGUCCCCUGUCAGGUCUAAGUAGAUGAUGGACAACAGAGGACUCUUGAAGCUCCGCCUCCACUGCAGCUGAAACUGUCCGUCUCCUCCGCUCCCCGCUGGCUGGAAUUUAUAACAGAGAAGUUCCUGCACGACAGAGCGGCAGGUAACAAUGUCAUCACAAAGAUGUCACCACACAGUUAUUUCAUUCUGAUCAUUUAAAGAACCAACAAACAUGAUUGCUCCCUAACACCAAUAUGUCCAGAUAAGACGUGUUUGACAGAUGCACACAUCCAGAACACCAAGAUGUCCUUCAAUGUCUGGUCAUAUUUUGCAGCAGGCAAGCCAGUAUGCUUUGUGUUAUUCUGACCCAUAAUCCUCUGCAGCAGUAAAUGUAUCACACCGAGUGAGCUGCAGGUGGACAGCAUGUUGUAGCUUCAAAGCACCUUUUUUUUUAAUUUCUUGCUGCAGACUCUGAGGGAUGCAGGGGCAAGAUGACUACAUUUCAAGGUGCCAAGGUGGUAUGUCUGAAUUGUAUGGAUACUGCAUCCAGAGUGAAGACUAUGAAAGGUUGUCAGCAUAAACAGCACUUACAGUAUGUGAUUUGAUAUUUUGUUGUUAUUCCCUGUCCUUGAAAAGUAAGUCUGCUGAUACUUCUUGUUUCUCUACCUGUCAACAAUGUGAAGCCUCCCAGACACUUUUUGCUCUGCGCCACAGAACUGUUAUCUAAAAACUAUUAAAAAUACAUCAAUGAGCCAAA